rnacentral:tRNA from 1 species
GGUCGGAUAGCCUAGUGGUAAGGCAUCCCAGUACCGUAGAGAGGACCUGGGUUCGAAUCCCGAUCUGACCA